rnacentral:sRNA from 1 species
GUCGCUGCCAAUUCAGCGACCGGGCCUGAGAACCCGGCAAGAUGCAGGCGCACCAAGCGCCCCCAAACCCGAUUUGCAGGCGUUUUUUUU